rnacentral:tRNA from 1 species
ACCUUGAUGGUGAAAUGGUUGACAUGCUAAACUCAAAAUCUCGCGUUAAAGAGCGUGGAGGUUCAAGUCAUCUUCAAGGCA